rnacentral:rRNA from 1 species
UACAGAGGUCUCAAGCGUUGUUCGGAUUCAUUGGGCGUAAAGGGUGCGUAGGUGGCGCUGUAAGUCGGGUGUGAAAUUUCGGAGCUUAACUCCGAAACUGCAUUCGAUACUGCGGUGCUUGAGGACUGGAGAGGAGACUGGAAUUCAUGGUGUAGCAGUGAAAUGCGUAGAGAUCAUGAGGAAGACCAGUGGCGAAGGCGGGUCUCUGGACAGUUCCUGACACUGAGGCACGAAGGCGUGGGGAGCAAACAGG